GAUAUUUUAAUAUUCAGUAUUUUCAGACUCAGCAGGCAGCAGGCUAAAUCUGUCCGCUGAUGGGCAGGCAUAAAUUAUGAAACCACUCACGCAGGUUGAGAGGUUGCCCUGAGCUGGGGGGGUGCUGCCCCCAGUGUCUGCUCAAGGUGGCUGGGGGAUGGAUUGCUCCCCACUCAGGAAAGAAGGGGGAAUAUGAACAGGAAGUGGGCUGUGCAGGCUGGAGGUGCCCUAGUGUCAGGCUGAAGGCUGGGAGCCGACAUCUAAUCAUCAAGAUGAUGGAACUCUGAGGGCUGAAGGUGGAAAACUGGAGGCGCAGAGAUUAACAGCUGCUCACUUCUGCAACAGUCAUUUAAUGAGCACUAACUACGUGCAAGACUCUAUGUUAGCUUCCAGGAUAAAAAUGAAUUAAGAUUUAUUUUCUACCUUUUGGAAGAAAUUGCUGUGGGUCAGGGUAGCUGGAACGGACUUAAAAGAGGAUGCUGAACUUCAGGGAUGUUAAAGCACUGAGGGCCACAGCACUUGUUCUCAUCAACAUCAUCAUCAGCAUCAGCAUCAUUGUCACCAUAACCAGCAUCAUUGGCAUCAGCAUAAUCAGCAUCACUACCCUCAUCAUCAUCAGUAGCAUCAAUAUCACCAUCAUCAGCAUCACCAUUAUCAUCAGCAGCAGCAUCGAUAUCACCAUCAGCAGCAGCAUCAGCAUCAUCAGCAGCAUCAGCACCAUCAGCAUCAUCAGCACCAUCAGCAGCAUCAGCAACAUCAGCAUCAUCGUCAUUAGCAUCAUCAGCAGCAUCACCACCAUUAUCAGCAGCAGCAUCACCAUCUAA
rnacentral:lncRNA from 10 species